UACGUAGGGGGCAAGCGUUGUCCGGAAUUAUUGGGCGUAAAGGGCAGGUAGGUGGUCUCGUUUGUCUAAGGUGAAAGCCCUGAGCUUAACUCAGGAAGUGCCUUAGAAACGGCGAGACUAGAGUCCUAGAGAGGGUCGUGGAAUUCCCGGUGUAGCGGUGAAAUGCGUAGAGAUCGGGAGGAACACCAGCGGCGAAGGCGACUUCCUGGACCAAUACUGACGCUCAGGUGCGAAAGCUAGGGGAGCAAACGGG
rnacentral:rRNA from 1 species